ACUCCUACGGGAGGCAGCAGUGGGGAAUAUUGCACAAUGGGGGAAACUCUGAUGCAGCGACGCCGCGUGAAGGAAGAAGUAUUUCGGUAUGUAAACUUCUAUCAGCAGGGAAGAUAAUGACGGUAC
rnacentral:rRNA from 1 species